UACGUAGGGUGCAAGCGUUAAUCGGAGUUACUGGGCGUAAAGCGUGCGCAGGCGGUGAUGUAAGACAGUUGUGAAAUCCCCGGGCUCAACCUGGGAACUGCAUCUGUGACUGCAUUGCUGGAGUGCGGCAGAGGGGGAUGGAAUUCCGCGUGUAGCAGUGAAAUGCGUAGAUAUGCGGAGGAACACCGAUGGCGAAGGCAAUCCCCUGGGCCUGUACUGACGCUCAUGCACGAAAGCGUGGGGAGAAAACAGG
rnacentral:rRNA from 1 species